AGUCCCUGGUGCUAAAAAGGUUAGGGACCAGGUCUGUGGAAAAAAUGUCUUCCACAAAACCAGUCCCUGGUGCUAAAAAGGUUGGGGACCACUGCUCUACUUAACACUUUCACUAGGAUCCCUUAAAGAGAGGACUAAAUAAUCAUCACAAUAACUUUCCUUUCUGUUUAUAAAGAAUAGAUACCAAUUAGAACAAAUACCUGAGAAAAAUGUGGUACUGUGUUGCAGUCACACAGUCUUCAUCUUCUGCUAUAUAAGCAGUGGUUUGUUACCCUUUUCCCUCCUGUAAGCUGCUUUCACGAGUCAACCCUGACCACCAAUAUGGGAACUCAGGUAAUGAUAAUAGCCAUGACUUAUUGAGAACUUACUGAAUAAUAAGACUUUUGCAUACAUUAUGGUGGCCAGCUAAGAGCUGUCUCCUCAAACCCAUUUGCCCCCUCUUCACCGUAGUGAGCUGUCACCAUGGGUGCGCAGCUGCUCCAGGCACAGACAGGGAGCCCCAUGCAGUGGAUGACAGAGCUGUCCCACCUGCCAGGGUCCUUGAAUGGUCUCGUGGCACAGAUCCUGCUGUGGGCAGUUACUGGAGAGGCAUAAACUUCCAUUUGAGGAAUCUGUUUGAUUGGGCACUUUAGUCAAACACCAACUAAUAUAAUUACCUCAGCUAAUCCCUAAAAAACACAGGGGAACUAAGAUGUAAGUACCACCUACCUCAUUGAGUUACUGUAAGGAUGAGAAACUGCAUGCAGAGUCCUCAUAUACACAUUUUCACUACUCCUAUUUGAAAACAUUUGUACUAUUAUUAGCCCCAUUUUACAGAUAAGAAAGUGGUAAAUAAAAUGCUCAAGACCGUAUAGUUAAUGUGUGGUAGCGCCAGAGUGGGAACUUAGACAUCCAGCCUUAAAACUGAUCUUUUAACCUCUGUGCUAUUCUGCUUCCAGAAGGAUGAAAUGAGAUCAUACAUAAAGAGCUUGGCCCAGCUGAGGAGCCGUCACCUAACCGUGCUCAGGAGUGCAUCAUGGUUGAGAGUGUGGGCUGUGGAGGUGAUGGGCAUCCAAUGGCAUCCAAUUCUGCCCUGCUAGUAUUAGAUUUGUGCUUAGGCAGAAACCUUGGUUUUCUCAUCUGUGAAAAGAGGGUGAUACUACCAACCUUAUAAGGCUGUAGUGAAGAUUAAAGGAAGUAACAUGUACCAACGGCUUAUGACCGAGCCAGGCACAAGGCAGCGUUCAAUGAUGCAAGCAGAGGAAGAAGGGAACAGCUGGGGCUUCCUGCCCGUUUCCUCUGUCCUAACAGCUCCUUUUUGCAGACACUGGGAAUCAAAACCAAAACGCAUGCAACCUUCCACCUUGAAGAACAGCACCACAUCAUCUCUUUGCUAAGCCUGAUUCCCGUUUUCUGGAUAGGAAACUGACACACAAAGUAUCUCCAGAAUCAUAUCAGAGGGACCGCUUCAUCUUCUGCCAUGACUGGAAGCUUCCUGAGGCCCUCAACAGAAGCAGAUGCUGGCACUAUGCUUCAUGUACAGCCUACAGAACCAUGAGCCAAAUAAAUCUCCUUUCUUUAUAAAUUAUCCAGUCUCAGGUAUUCCUUUAUAGCAAUGCAAAUAGACUAACACAUGUUUCCACAAAGAAAACCCCAGGGUUGGCCACGUGCAGUGGCUCACACCUGUAGUCCUAACACUUUAGGAGGCUGAGGCAGGAGGAUCGCCUGAGUCAAGGAGUUUGAGACCAGCCUGGGCAACAUGGUGAAACCUCAUCUCUAUAAAAAAUGCAAAACAUUUGGCCAGGCAUCAUGGUGCACGCCUGUUAUCCUAGCUACUUGGGAGGCUGAGGUGGGAGGAUUACUUGAGCCUGGAAGGUCGAAGCUGCAGUGAGCCGUGACUGGGCCACUGCACUCCAGCCUGGGUGACACAGUGAGACCCUGCCUCAAAAAAAAGAAAAAAGAAAAAGAAAAGAAAGAAAGCCCCAGAGUCAGACAUUUAAGGUAGAAAUAAUAUUGAUUCUGCACAAACUGUUCAAGGAAGUUGAAGAUGAGUGAAUACGUCCCAAAUCACUGAAUGGUCCAGCAUUACUCUGACAUCAAAACCAGGUAAAGACCUUACAAGGCAAGAAAACUAUACACCAAUAUACCUAUAUGAACAUAGAUGCAAUAAUUCUCAACAAAACUUUAGCAAAUUGGAUGUCUCUUUAUAUUUAAAAGGACAAGUACAUCAUGAGCACAUGAGAUUUAUCACAAGAAUGCAAGAGUGAUUUAACAUCUGAAAAUCAAGCAAUAUAAUUUACCAUACUAACAGACCAUAUGAAAAAACAUGAUUAUCCCAGUCAAUGCAAAAAACACAUUUGGGAGAAGCCAACACCUUUUCAUAAUAAAAACACUGAACAAACUAAGAAUAGAAGGGAAUUACAUCCAUCUCAUAAAGGGCAUCUCCAAAAAACAACCCAUAGCUAACAGUAUACUUCAUGUGAAAGACUGUAUGUUUUCUCCCUAAGAUUGGGAACUAGACAAAGAUGUCUGUUCUCACUGCUUCUAUUCAGCUUUGUAUGGGGGGUUCUAACCAGAGCAUUAGGUGGAAAAAAAGGCAUUCAGAUUGAAAAGGAAGAAAUAAAACUGUGUUUAUUCACAGAUGACAUGGUCAAAUAUAGAGAAAAUCUGAUGGAAUCUAUUUUUAAUAGCUACUAGAAUAAGUGAUUUUAGCAAAGUUACAGGAUAUAAGAUUAAUAUACAACAGUCUACUGUAUUUCUAUAUACUAGUAAGGAACAAUUAGAAAUUGGAAUUUUUUAAAUACUGUUUUCUUCUUUUUUUUUUUUUUUUUUUUGAUAUAGGGUCUUACUGUGUUGUCCAGGCCGGACUGCAGUGGAAUGAUCAUAGUCCACUGCAGCCUCAACCUCCUGGGCUCAAGUGAUCCUCCCACCUCAGCCUCCUGAGUAUUUGUGACUUCAGGCAUGCACCACCAUGCCCAGCUAAUUUUGUAAAUUUUUAUUUAUUUUUUCUUUUUUCCCCUCUUUUGUAGAGAACACGGUCUCGCUAUAUUGCCCAGGCAGGUCUCAAACUCCUGGGCUUAAGCUAUACCCCACCUUUGCUUCCCUAAAUGAUAGGAUUACAGGCAUGAUCCACUAUGCUUGGCUAUUUUUAUUUCUUUUGUAAAGUGGAGGUCUCACUAUGUUGCCUAGGCUGAUCUUGAACUCCUAGGCUCAAGCAAUCCUCCUAUCUCAGCCUCCCAAAGCCAUGCUGGGAUUACAGGCAUGAGCCACCAGGCCCAGCCUAAAAUACCAUUUUCAAUAACACUUAAAAUAUACUUAGGGAUAAAUCUGACAAAAAUGUGCAAGAUCUGUAAACUGAAAACUAGGUAUGAACAUGUAUUGUGCAACUUGCUCUUUCCCUUGAACAUCUGUUUGUGAAAUUCAUCCAUAUUGAUACAUGCAGCUCUAAUCCAUUCUUUUUCAUUGCUACAUAGUAUUCCAUUGUCUCAAUAAACCACAAUUUACUUAAUCAUUUUCUUAUUGAUGGACAGGCAGGUUAUAGCCAAAAUCUUACUACAGCACCAUUGCUAUAAACUGUCCCUCUGUACAUAUUUGUGAGUUUUUCUAAGGUAUAUCUCCAGGAGUUGCUGUGUUAUAUGUAUACCCUAUAACACAACAACCCCUGGAAAACUGCUUAGAAAAACUUAAAAUAUUAAAUAUUGCCAAAUUGCUUUCUAAAGUGAUUAUAACAAUUUACCUUCCACUCAAGAGAGUAUAAAAGUUCUAAUGUCCCCACAUCUUUGCCAAUACUUGGAUCAUCACACUCUUAAAGAUUAGUCCAUUAAAGAGAUGUAAAAUAGUAUUAUAUUGGGGUUUUAAUUUGCAUUUCUCUAAUUAGUAGUGAGGUUUUACAUCUUUUCAUAUGUUCAUUGAUCAUUUGAGUUUUCUCUUCUGAUAAUUGUUUAUUCAUAUUUUUUGCACAUUUUUCUAUUAAGUUAUUUUUAUUUAUAUUGAUUUGUAAGUGUUCUUUGCAGAAUCUGGAUACCUAUCUUUUGUCAGUUAAGUGUUAUGAGUAAUUGUGUUUUCAAUCUCUUUAAUGUGUCUUUUGAUAAUCAAAAGUUUUUAAAAUUUUAAUGGUGUCAAAUUCAUAAAUGUUUUCCUUUAAGGUUUGUGAUUUUGUGUCUUAUUUUAAAUUUUUUUCAUUACCAUGAGGCCACAAAAAUAUUCCCUUCUAUUUUCUUCUAAAAGUCUGUAUUAGUCCCUUUUCACGUUGCUAUAAAGAAACACCUGAGAUGGCGUAAUUUACAAAGAAAAGAAUUUUAAUUGGCUCACUGUUCUGUAGGCUGUACAGGAAGCAUGGUGCUGGCAUCUGCUCAGCUUCUGGGGAGACCUCAGGAAACUUAUAAUCAUAGCAGAGAGCAAAGGGCGAGCAGGCACGUCACAUGGCCAGAGUGAAGCAAGAGAGGUAAAGAGCUGCUACACACUUUUGCAUGCCCAGAUCUCACAUUAACUCACUCACUAUCAUGGAGAACAGCACCAAGAUGUUGGUGCUAAACUAUUCAUGAGAAAUCCCCCUCCAUGAUCAGUCAUCUCCCACCAGCCCUCACCUCCAACAUUGGGGAUUACAAUUCGACGUGAGAUUUGGGCAAGGACACAGAUCCAAACCAUAUCAUCUUAAAUCCACUGGAACAGACUGAUUUGUUUGAGGUAGAGAUCCAGUUUUGUUUUUUUUCUCAUAUAGAUGACAAAUUGUACCAGCCCCAUUUAUUGACUACUCCAUCCUUUUCCUGCAUUACCAUCUCUGCCAUCUACAAAGUUUCUAUUUAUGUGUGGGUUUAUUCUGGGAUCUCUAACUCUGUUCCAUUGGUCUAUUUAUUUACCCCUGUGCCCAUGUGUCUUUAUUAUUUAUUAUAGCUUUACACAAUUUGCUCCAAUCAGU
rnacentral:lncRNA from 10 species